UAGCUCAGUGGUAGAGCGCUUGCCUUGCAUGCCUGAGGCCCUGGGUUCGAUCCUCAG
rfam:Dipodomys ordii contig_18952, whole genome shotgun sequence.